rnacentral:rRNA from 1 species
AUUGAACGCUGGCGGCAUGCCUUACACAUGCAAGUCGAACGGUAACAGGUCUUCGGAUGCUGACGAGUGGCGAACGGGUGAGUAAUACAUCGGAACGUGCCCGAUCGUGGGGGAUAACGAAGCGAAAGCUUUGCUAAUACCGCAUAAGAUCUAAGGAUGAAAGCAGGGGAACGCAAGGCCUUGCGCGAACGGAGCGGCCGAUGGCAGAUUAGGUAGUUGGUGGGAUAAAAGCUUACCAAGCCGACUAUCUGUAGCUGGUCUGAGAGGACGACCAGCCACACUGGGACUGAGACACGGCCCAGACUCCUACGGGAGGCAGCAGUGGGGAAUUUUGGACAAUGGGCGAAAGCCUGAUCCAGCCAUGCCGCGUGCAGGAUGAAGGCCUUCGGGUUGUAAACUGCUUUUGUACGGAACGAAAAGACUCUUUCUAAUAAAGAGGGUCCAUGACGGUACCGUAAGAAUAAGCACCGGCUAACUACGUGCCAGCCGCCGCCGUAAAAC